UGCCAGCAGCCGCGGUAAUACGUAGGUGGCAAGCGUUGUCCGGAAUUAUUGGGCGUAAAGGGAGCGUAGGUGGUUUGUUAAGUCUGAUGUGAAAGCCCGCGGCUCAACCGCGGAGGGUCAUUGGAAACUGACAAACUUGAAUACAGCAGAGGUAAGUGGAAUUUCAUGUGUAGCGGUGGAAUGCGUAGAUAUAUGAAGGAACACCAGUGGCGAAGGCGACUUACUGGGCUGAUAUUGACACUGAGGCUCGACAGCGUGGGGAGCAAAUAGGAUUAGAUA
rnacentral:rRNA from 1 species